UUAAGUUAUUAAGGGCGCACGGUGGAUGCCUUGGCACUAGAAGCCGAUGAAGGACGUUACUAACGACGAUAUGCUUUGGGGAGCUGUAAGUAAGCUUUGAUCCAGAGAUUUCCGAAUGGGGAAACCCAGCAUGAGUUAUGUCAUGUUAUCGAUAUGUGAAUACAUAGCAUAUCAGAAGGCACACCCGGAGAACUGAAACAUCUUAGUACCCGGAGGAAGAGAAAGAAAAUUCGAUUCCCUUAGUAGCGGCGAGCGAAACGGGAAGAGCCCAAACCAACAAGCUUGCUUGUUGGGGUUGUAGGACACUCUAUACGGAGUUACAAAGGACGACAUUAGACGAAUCAUCUGGAAAGAUGAAUCAAAGAAGGUAAUAAUCCUGUAGUCGAAAAUGUUGUCUCUCUUGAGUGGAUCCUGAGUACGACGGAGCACGUGAAAUUCCGUCGGAAUCUGGGAGGACCAUCUCCUAAGGCUAAAUACUCUCUAGUGACCGAUAGUGAACCAGUACCGUGAGGGAAAGGUGAAAAGCACCCCGGAAGGGGAGUGAAAUAGAACCUGAAACCGUGUGCUUACAAGUAGUCAGAGCCCGUUAAUGGGUGAUGGCGUGCCUUUUGUAGAAUGAACCGGCGAGUUACGAUUUGAUGCAAGGUUAAGCAGUAAAUGUGGAGCCGUAGCGAAAGCGAGUCUGAAUAGGGCGUUUAGUAUUUGGUCGUAGACCCGAAACCAGGUGAUCUACCCUUGGUCAGGUUGAAGUUCAGGUAACACUGAAUGGAGGACCGAACCGACUUACGUUGAAAAGUGAGCGGAUGAACUGAGGGUAGCGGAGAAAUUCCAAUCGAACCUGGAGAUAGCUGGUUCUCUCCGAAAUAGCUUUAGGGCUAGCCUCAAGUGAUGAUUAUUGGAGGUAGAGCACUGUUUGGACGAGGGGCCCCUCUCGGGUUACCGAAUUCAGACAAACUCCGAAUGCCAAUUAAUUUAACUUGGGAGUCAGAACAUGGGUGAUAAGGUCCGUGUUCGAAAGGGAAACAGCCCAGACCACCAGCUAAGGUCCCAAAAUAUAUGUUAAGUGGAAAAGGAUGUGGCGUUGCCCAGACAACUAGGAUGUUGGCUUAGAAGCAGCCAUCAUUUAAAGAGUGCGUAAUAGCUCACUAGUCGAGUGACACUGCGCCGAAAAUGUACCGGGGCUAAACAUAUUACCGAAGCUGUGGAUUGUCCUUUGGACAAUGGUAGGAGAGCGUUCUAAGGGCGUUGAAGCAUGAUCGUAAGGACAUGUGGAGCGCUUAGAAGUGAGAAUGCCGGUGUGAGUAGCGAAAGACGGGUGAGAAUCCCGUCCACCGAUUGACUAAGGUUUCCAGAGGAAGGCUCGUCCGCUCUGGGUUAGUCGGGUCCUAAGCUGAGGCCGACAGGCGUAGGCGAUGGAUAACAGGUUGAUAUUCCUGUACCACCUAUAAUCGUUUUAAUCGAUGGGGGGACGCAGUAGGAUAGGCGAAGCGUGCGAUUGGAUUGCACGUCUAAGCAGUAAGGCUGAGUAUUAGGCAAAUCCGGUACUCGUUAAGGCUGAGCUGUGAUGGGAGAAGACAUUGUGUCUUCGAGUCGUUGAUUUCACACUGCCGAGAAAAGCCUCUAGAUAGAAAAUAGGUGCCCGUACCGCAAACCGACACAGGUAGUCAAGAUGAGAAUUCUAAGGUGAGCGAGCGAACUCUCGUUAAGGAACUCGGCAAAAUGACCCCGUAACUUCGGGAGAAGGGGUGCUCUUUAGGGUUAACGCCCAGAAGAGCCGCAGUGAAUAGGCCCAAGCGACUGUUUAUCAAAAACACAGGUCUCUGCUAAACCGUAAGGUGAUGUAUAGGGGCUGACGCCUGCCCGGUGCUGGAAGGUUAAGAGGAGUGGUUAGCUUCUGCGAAGCUACGAAUCGAAGCCCCAGUAAACGGCGGCCGUAACUAUAACGGUCCUAAGGUAGCGAAAUUCCUUGUCGGGUAAGUUCCGACCCGCACGAAAGGCGUAACGAUUUGGGCACUGUCUCAACGAGAGACUCGGUGAAAUCAUAGUACCUGUGAAGAUGCAGGUUACCCGCGACAGGACGGAAAGACCCCGUGGAGCUUUACUGUAGCCUGAUAUUGAAAUUCGGCACAGCUUGUACAGGAUAGGUAGGAGCCUUUGAAACGUGAGCGCUAGCUUACGUGGAGGCGCUGGUGGGAUACUACCCUAGCUGUGUUGGCUUUCUAACCCGCACCACUUAUCGUGGUGGGAGACAGUGUCAGGCGGGCAGUUUGACUGGGGCGGUCGCCUCCUAAAAGGUAACGGAGGCGCUCAAAGGUUCCCUCAGAAUGGUUGGAAAUCAUUCAUAGAGUGUAAAGGCAUAAGGGAGCUUGACUGCGAGACCUACAAGUCGAGCAGGGUCGAAAGACGGACUUAGUGAUCCGGUGGUUCCGCAUGGAAGGGCCAUCGCUCAACGGAUAAAAGCUACCCCGGGGAUAACAGGCUUAUCUCCCCCAAGAGUUCACAUCGACGGGGAGGUUUGGCACCUCGAUGUCGGCUCAUCGCAUCCUGGGGCUGUAGUCGGUCCCAAGGGUUGGGCUGUUCGCCCAUUAAAGCGGUACGCGAGCUGGGUUCAGAACGUCGUGAGACAGUUCGGUCCCUAUCCGUCGUGGGCGUAGGAAAUUUGAGAGGAGCUGUCCUUAGUACGAGAGGACCGGGAUGGACAUACCUCUGGUGUACCAGUUGUCGUGCCAACGGCAUAGCUGGGUAGCUAUGUGUGGACGGGAUAAGUGCUGAAAGCAUCUAAGCAUGAAGCCCCCCUCAAGAUGAGAUUUCCCAACUUCGGUUAUAAGAUCCUCAAAGAUGAUGAGGUUAAUAGGUUCGAGGUGGAAGCAUGGUGACAUGUGGAGCUGACGAAUACUAAUCGAUCGAAGACUUAAUCAA
rnacentral:rRNA from 1 species